AAGAUCCAGACCCGCUGAAUGCCAGAAUGACCUUCCUCUUAAAGUUUCAGUUGGUACUCAGACUUCAGAGGUCCCAUCAGUCAAUGUCUGUUGGUCCACUGUCCACAGGACCACUGACAGACCGCUUUGGGUAUGAAGUUGUGUUAAUCGUGGACCUGCUGGAGGAGGAUGAAGACAGUGUCUCUGCAGAGUCCUCACAGCUUCUCAACUCCAUGUCUGAACCCGGAGUCACGGCGCCAUCAGAAACACAUUCUGAUCUGUCAGACUGGAAAUGAAGCUCCACUAAGCCCCGCCCCCUUUCCAUCAGACGUCCAGCAAGCUGCCGCUCUGCAAGUGGACAGGAGGUGGUUCUGCCUUCUUGUUGGUGCUGAAAGGAAAACAGUCAGACUGGUGACAUUUUGUCUUCAAGAGUCAAUUUGCUCCGUUCUCAGGUCUUCAGAGCCACGAGAGUCCAGAUGUUCUACUACAAGACCUUUGGGAAACACGUCCAGCUGUUUCUGCAGCCAGCUGUGGUUCACAAGUGGAGAAAGGAUGAUCAGAGGGUGAUGGAGCAGCUCCAGCAGGAGGGGACGGUGGCUGUCAGAGGAGACCCGAGGACACAUUCAGCAGGAGAAACCACCACAGCUGAUGGGAUCGCAUCACUUUGAGCCUCCGAUGCAGCAGGUCCAGCCUGAUGCACCUGGAGAGAAACACCAUCAUCGACGUCCAGCUGCUGCAGUCUGUCUCCAGGCGUCUUGUUGUCCCACUGCAUGUGUUUUAACGUCUGCAGAGGACGCUAUGUGACGUCUUAACGUCAGUCGGUGUCGGUCAAACACUUUAAGACUGAAGCAGAUCCCAGAGCAGAGCAGUGACCUGCAGGAGGGACUCAGGAGGACUCCGGACCUCCUGGCUGAAAAUCACACGACUGCGGACCACAUCAUCGCCGACCACCGGCGACAGGUCCCCCGGCUUGAGAGGGAGAGAAAGCAUGGAGCAGUCCUGUGACGUGGGACACCUGGAGAAAAACCAGGCUUAUAUUCAGAAGUAACGUAUCCAUCGUCUGUCUGUGUAAUAACUGCAGGAUUUAUGACAUCACUAGUGUGGAGCCAAUCAUGUUCCAGUAUGGAGCUUGGAGAGAUGUGAGGUGGAAACCUGAAGCCUCCUGGUCUCAAACACGUCGUGUUUCCAUCUGUUCAUCCUUAGAAAUGAACAGAGUCUACAUGGCAUCCUACAGGGACACGAUGACGUCAGCUGUUCCACAGCUGGAUCCCCGGUUCAUUAAUUAAAAGGCAGAAAUAAGAGUUUAUAACUGCCCAGUUAACAGUUAAUGAUACCACUUUGAUGUCUGUGUGUUUUACGGCAGAAAACUCAGACCAGCUGACUGUGUGUUAAAUCAUGUGACCAUAUGCUGCUCAGAGCCACGUAGCAUCGAACUGGAGCCAACAUAAGAUAAGAUAAUCCUUUAUUAGUCCCACAACUGGGAAAUGACAGUUACAGCAGCAAACAGGAUAUGGAGGGUGCAAAGCAUGCAGGGAUAAGAGAAGGAUGAGCAUCCAGAAAGAAUGAAUACACAGGAAACUAGUACCUGCAGCUGUACACAGUACAGAAGAGAAAAAGACUGUUCACACUAGAGUCCCUCAAGUUAUGAUUAGUGGGUGGAUUGAUUACUGUACCGAUUUGUUUCAGUGACAUGGUGUCUGGUCCAGUGAGAGCUGCUCGCCAAAGGCUUUUCUAGAUGAUGUUCGCUUCCUUUGGAUAUGUGUGGUGCAGUCGUGUUGGGCCCGUGUUGACACUGUGAUGACGUCACGUUGAGCUAACGUUGUGAAGUGUUUGAGUAACGUCAGUGUGUUCGACUCCCAUCUGUUUCAGGCUGCGUUGCUCUGCACAAAACGGUGAAGCUGCAGCUCAGACCGACUCUCGUUGUUGUGUGUCCCUGAACAAGACACAAAGCUGCUGAUGGACGAGUGAUGUCUCUGAACUCCUGUCCAGGUUUCACAUUAAAAGCCUGACCUGAAAGUGGGCAUCGACUCAGGGAUGUCCUCACUGAUUUUAAUAUUGAUUAUCAGCUGAUGGGAUUAAACGUGUCAACAGUGAGAUACCUGUUGGAGAUCUUAUUUUUCAGGUGACUGAGCCUUUGUCAGGAUUUCUGAGUCCUUGAAAAUGCGGUGAUGAGUUGAAAUGUUUGCCCUCAGCAGUCGUGGUCAGUCACAUGCUCUGAAAACUGAACCGACGCUGAAACUGAACUCCUGCAUCCCGUCUGCUUCAGUGUUUAUUCUGUACGAACACUGGAGUCCAUCACGCAGGAGACCGCCAGUCCACGUUCCUGCACUGCUGUUCUCAGAAGGCUUCAGGUGACGCGAGCAUCUGUUCAGACAGGUGCAGAGAUGUUUCACCUGUCACAGGUGCACUGUGACGGUUUGGCGUGUCUUGUCUGACUGAUGAGUGUUUAAACGUUCGGCUGACAUCACGAGUUGUGGUGCGAGUCAGAAAAAUAAGAAAACGUCCAAACUCUGGGGCCCGUUUCAGAAAGCAGGUUCAGUGAGUCAAGCCUGAAAUGAGGGAAACUGUGGGUUAACUGGUUCAGGAACUCAAACCCGAGACAGAGGAGUAACUCACGUGGACGCAGUGAGUCUAAUGCAGCGCCAAAAGCUUUGUUGCUAUGACAACAAUUCCAGAUUCAUUUAAAAAAAACAAAAAAAACAACUACCAAACUGAGUGAGCCUCAUUCAGAGAACAAAGUCCUGAUCCUAAUGAGAUGAAACCUGAGCAGAAAAUGU